rnacentral:lncRNA from 1 species
UGGCUUUGAAUGGUGCCUUCUGAACACACAAAAGUUCUGGAGUUCAAAUAAUUCCAAUAAAUGAGACCCCUUUUGUAACAGAUGAGUUUUUAUAUGAAACCGUGAUACUUCGAAAGAGAUUGUCCAAUUUUUACACGAAGUGCAUCCAGUUUUUGCCGCAACCCUCUCAACUUUUAGUACAUGCUAUGUGGGUGAAAUGAUGAUACCAUGCCAACUUUCAACAUUUUCAGAGUUCAUUUGUAGUGCUUUUCAAUUUUUGGGCCAUUUAGCUCAAACAAAUCAAUAAAUGCAUGAAAAUACCAAAUGAUG